AAAACAUGGGGAGAUCGUUUUCUAGGGAUCGUUUUGUCAAAAUAUUACAGAAAUUUUAUAGAAAUUAAUCUAUGUUUCGCCAUGCUCUGCCGCUUAAUUUAUGUUUUUGUUUAUUUAAUCAUCUUCCCGAAGACACUAUCACAAUGGUCUGUACACAGAGGCACAACAUGAAACUGUAUUAUUGGCGAUAGCUACUAGAUAUUCCAACAAUUGAAGUGGUCAACAAACUGGAAAAGUCCAAAACAGCGCUUGACGAUGCCUGAAAGGUUCUAGAGAGGGCCUAAAACAGGUAUUCGGGGAAGGAAUUACAGUCUUCUGCAAAGUUGUUGAAGGAGCCUAGAUGGCUCUGGAGAGCCCUUCACUGCGCUGGAAAGAAUUUGAGGAACUUUUGAAAGCUUGUAUCUAUUAGAGAACCUAAGGAACUCUGACAAGGACAUAGACCGCUGUGAAAAAGGCCUUAGCUCUGAUUCGGUGCCCUUUCUGUAGUACAAAACAUUAAAGCAUUUGAAGCAACCGAUUGAGAAUUGGGGACAUAAAAUGGUCUCUGGGGGAAUGUCUACCAAAUACGGGCGAUGUGCACAUUCGAAUCGUUAUUGAUCCAAUUUGGUCAUUAUUUUCAAGGACUACGUUUUGGCACGAGAACCGCCUGUUUGUUUGAACCGUCUUUCUGCAAAUAAAGAAGCAAUCUGAAAGUCGCUACACUGUCUGCUCUUGGCCCUCGUAACGUCAAGGACGCAUCUAAAGAUAGGCACAUUCCGUACGGAAAUAAAACGAUUUUAUUAACUAAUACAAAGGAACAUCACUUUGGCAGCGCUCCUCUCCAAACAAACGAACAAUCCGUCACGACGUUCGCGAAAUGUGUUUGUACAGGUCGACAUUUAAAUCAUUUCCUGGGAGACUAAAUAAAGGUUUCCCUUGAGUG